GUUGUCACAAACAUAACAUUUCAGUGUUCACUUUGUUUUUGUCGAGUAGUUACGUUUUGAUAGUGUAUUCUGUGCCCCAUUGAAAGAUACUUUAUUGAUUGAAGACCAUUCAGUUACAGAACUCCAAAGAUGGUUAGACUUUUUCUAUCAGAACGAUCCUGUUCUACUGUAUACAAUAAACAAUAAGUGAAUACAACAAUAACAUUUCAUAUGGUAUAUGACAUGUGACGGUAAAAUGACAGGAUUUUCACUAUUAAACAACGUACAAACUUAAAAUUC